rnacentral:rRNA from 1 species
GUAACGCGUGAGAACCUGCCUCGAGGAGGGGGAUAACAGCGGGAAACUGCUGCUAAUACCCCAUAUGCCGAAAGGUGAAAAGAAAUUCGCCUUGAGAGGGGCUCGCGUCCGAUUAGCUAGUUGGUGAGGUAAGAGCUUACCAAGGCGACGAUCGGUAGCUGGUCUGAGAGGAUGAGCAGCCACACUGGGACUGAGACACGGCCCAGACUCCUACGGGAGGCAGCAGUGGGGAAUUUUCCGCAAUGGGCGAAAGCCUGACGGAGCAACGCCGCGUGGGGGAAGAAGGCCUUUGGGUUGUAAACUCCUUUUCUCAGGGAAGAAGAACUGACGGUACCUGAGGAAUCAGCCUCGGCUAACUCCGUGCCAGCAGCCGCGGUAAUACGGAGGAGGCAAGCGUUAUCCGGAAUUAUUGGGCGUAAAGCGUUCGUAGGCGGCAUUUCAAGUCUGCUGUCAAAGGCCGAGGCUCAACUUCGGAAAGGCAGUGGAAACUGAAAAGCUAGAGGUCGGUAGGGGCAGAGGGAAUUCCCAGUGUAGCGGUGAAAUGCGUAGAUAUUGGGAAGAACACCGGUGGCGAAAGCGCUCUGCUGGGCCGAACCUGACGCUGAG